rnacentral:rRNA from 1 species
AUGGAACAAUGGUUCCAAUUGGAGGAAAUUGCCAAGAGCAUUACCUUUACUGCCGAGCCGGAUGCCCUGAUUUGGCAGCUGGACAAUAAGGGGAAGUAUUCCUCCAGCUCCAUCUAUCAUGUUAUCAACUUUAGAGGGGUUCAACCCGUGUUUAUCCCUGUUGUCUGGAAAUUGAGAGUUCCCCCUAAAAUUCAUGUAUUUCUCUGGCUUCUCUCUAAAAACAAAUUGACGACAAGGGAUAACCUUAGGAAGAGACACAUCAUCAAACCCCUUGAUUGUGUUUACUGCUUGGAAUAAGAGUCUUGUUCUCACCUAUUUUUUGAAUGUAUAGUUGCUAAACAUCUCUUGGCCCACAUUGAGGAAUAUUUCUCUAGUCAGAUUGGCUCAUCCUUCGAAUCUGUCGCCAGAUUCUGGAUUGCUACCAAAAAGUGCUCAGUUUUAAACACUCUUAGCUCAGCUGUCCUUUGGUGCCUCUGGAAAUAUAGAAAUGCUAUGAUUUUCAGUAACACCUCCUGGAUUUCCAUUCUGCAGGUCUUGAGGUUGAUCAGGAACAUGGUGAGGAACUGUCACAUCCCUAGCUUCUGGUACUGCCUGGUGUUUUGCAUCUUGUUGCAUCAUGUUUAA